rnacentral:rRNA from 1 species
GAUGAACGCUGGCGGCGUGCUUAAUACAUGCAAGUCGAACGAGGAACUUUUGUCUUCGGAUGGGAGUUUCCUAGUGGCGAACGGGUGAGUAACGCGUUGGUGACCUGCCCCGAAGCGGGGGAUAACAGUUCGAAAGGACUGCUAAUACCCCAUGUGAUCAGCGGGAUUAGAUGCCUGCUGAUUAAAGGCGUAAGCCACUUUGGGAGGGGCCUGCGUCCCAUCAGCUAGUUGGUAGGGUAAUGGCCUACCAAGGCUAUGACGGGUAGGGGACCUGAGAGGGUGGCCCCCCACACUGGCACUGAAACACGGGCCAGACACCUACGGGAGGCAG